rnacentral:rRNA from 1 species
GAUGAACGCUGGCGGCGUGCCUAAUACAUGCAAGUCGAGCGAACAGAUAAGGAGCUUGUUCCUUUGACGUGAGCGGCGGACGGGUGAGUAACACGUGGGUAACCUACCUAUAAGACUGGAAUAACUCCGGGAAACCGGGGCUAAUGCCGGAUAACAUUUAGAACCGCAUGGUUCUAAAGUGAAAGAUGGUUUUGCUAUCACUUAUAGAUGGACCCGGGCCGUAUUAGCUAGUUGGUAAGGUAACGGCUCACCAAGGCAACGAUACGUAGCCGACCUGAGAGGGGGAUCGCCCCCCUGGGAACUGAGACCCGGUCCAGACUCCUACGGGAGGCAGCAGUAGGGAAUCUUCGGCAAUGGGCGAAAGCCUAACGGAGCAACGCCGCGUGAGUGAGGAAGGUCUUCGGAUCGUAAAACUCUGUUAUUGGGGAAGAACAAUUGUGUAAGUAACUGUGCACGUCUUGACGGUACCUAAUCAGAAAGCCACGGCUAACUACGUG